UCUCGGCUUAUCACCGGCAGUCCCCUUAGAGUGCCCAACUUAAUGAUGGCAACUAAGGGCGAGGGUUGCGCUCGUUGCGGGACUUAACCCAACAUCUCACGACACGAGCUGACGACAGCCAUGCAGCACCUGUCACUGGUCCAGCCGAACUGAAGAUUUCCGUCUCCGGAAACCGCGACCAGGAAGUCAAGGGCUGGUAAGGUUCUGCGCGUUGCAUCGAAUUAAACCACAUGCUCCGCUGCUUGUGUGGGCCCCCGUCAAUUCCUUUGAGUUUUAAUCUUGCGACCGUACUCCCCAGGCGGGGCACUUAAUGCGUUAGCUGCGGCACCCAGGGGGUCAAUACCCCGGACACCUAGUGCCCAUCGUUUACAGCGUGGACUAC
rnacentral:misc_RNA from 1 species